rnacentral:rRNA from 1 species
GACGAACGCUGGCGGCGUGCUUAACACGUGCAAGUCGAACGGAAAGGCCCUGCUUUUGUGGGGUGCUCGAGUGGCGAACGGGUGAGUAACACGUGAGUAACCUGCCCUUGACUUUGGGAUAACUUCAGGAAACUGGGGCUAAUACCGGAUAGGAGCUCCUGCUGCAUGGUGGGGGUUGGAAAGUUUCGGCGGUUGGGGAUGGACUCGCGGCUUAUCAGCUUGUUGGUGGGGUAGUGGCUUACCAAGGCUUUGACGGGUAGCCGGCCUGAGAGGGUGACCGGCCACAUUGGGACUGGGAUACGGCCCAGACUCCUACGGGAGGCAGCAGUGGGGAAUAUUGCACAAUGGGCGGAAGCCUGAUGCAGCAACGCCGCGUGCGGGAUGACGGCCUUCGGGUUGUAAACCGCUUUCGCCUGUGACGAAGCGUGAGUGACGGUAAUGGGUAAAGAAGCACCGACUAACUACGUG